rnacentral:rRNA from 1 species
UACGGGGGGGGCAAGCGUUGUUCGGAAUUACUGGGCGUAAAGGGUUCGUAGGUGGCCUGCUAAGUCAGACGUGAAAUCCCUCAGCUCAACUGGGGAACUGCGUCUGAGACUGGUGGGCUUGAGUGCAGGAGAGGAGCGCGGAAUUCCAGGUGUAGCGGUGAAAUGCGUAGAUAUCUGGAGGAACACCGGUGGCGAAGGCGGCGUUCUGGACUGUUACUGACACUCAUCCGCGAAAGCGUGGGGAGCAAACAGG